UACGUAGGGUGCGAGCGUUAAUCGGAAUUAUUGGGCGUAAAGGGCUCGUAGGCGGUCCGUCACGUCGGGAGUGAAAACUCAGGGCUCAACCCUGAGCGUGCUUCCGAUACGGGCGGACUAGAGGUAUGCAGGGGAGAACGGAAUUCCUGGUGUAGCGGUGGAAUGCGCAGAUAUCAGGAGGAACACCGGUGGCGAAGGCGGUUCUCUGGGCAUUACCUGACGCUGAGGAGCGAAAGCAUGGGGAGCGAACAGG
rnacentral:rRNA from 1 species